CAAAUGCAAUAUCGCCCCAAGAAACGAAAGCGUUUGGAACAUCCGAAAACGUCAAGCGGAAUAAUAUCCGUGGAUUUUGCUUUCUGACUCGCUUUCGAGUUUGCUCCUGUUUUUGCUUCCAGUACUUCAGCACGGAGAAAUAUAAUACCGCUGAAGCGUUCGAAUUUGAAUGCGUAAAGCGCGAAAAACAAACGCGCGUACUCUUGAAUCGUAAAAGGAUUAUCGGAGUGUCGGAAGACAUGCCAAGCACCAUCAAGGUAUUCGACGGCACCGUCGUUCACACGUUGGAAGUUUCUCAGGAAGAUGCUGCAAAGGCUAAUCAAGAUUCGCUAUUUGCGUCGCAACUUAUGCAUAAUUAUGAAGCGAUAAUUGUGCACAGUCCUGAUCAACCAGUUGCUGAAGAGACAGAAUCUUCUGGCAAUAAUUCAUUAUCCCAUACCACGGUGCAAGAAUUUUCG